rnacentral:rRNA from 1 species
AGUGGCAGACGGGUGAGUAACAUGUGGGUAUCUACCCUUUGGCCUGGAAUAACACGAGGAAACUUGUGCUGAUACCGGAUAAGUCUUUACGGAGAAAGCUUUAUGCGCCAUAGGAUGAGCCCGCACUUGAUUAGUUUGUUGGUAGGGUAAUGGCCUACCAAGACUAUGAUCAAUAGCUGAUUUGAGAGGAUGAUCAGCCACAUUGGGACUGAGACACGGCCCAAACUCCUACGGGAGGCAGCAGUGGGGAAUCUUGCACAAUGGAGGAAACUCUGAUGCAGCGAUGCCGCGUGAGUGAAGAAGGCCUUUGGGUUGUAAAGCUCCUUCGUCGGGGAAGAAAAUGACUGUACCCGAAUAAGAAGGUCCGGCUAACUUCGUGCCAGCAGCCGCGGUAAUACGAAGGGACCUAGCGUAGUUCGGAAUUACUGGGCUUAAAGAGUUCGUAGGUGGUUGAAAAAGUUGGUGGUGAAAUCCCAGAGCUUAACUCUGGAACUGCCAUCAAAACUUUUCAGCUAGAGUAUGAUAGAGGAAAGCAGAAUUUCUAGUGUAGAGGUGAAAUUCGUAGAUAUUAGAAAGAAUACCAAUUGCGAAGGCAGCUUUCUGGAACAUUACUGACACUGAGGAACGAAAGCAUGGGUAGCGAAGAGGAUUAGAUACCCUCGUAGUCCAUGCCGA